rnacentral:tRNA from 1 species
UGUCCCUCUAGUAUAACGGAUAUUACGGGCCCCUCCUAAGGGUUUGAUGCUGGUUCGAUUCCGGCGGGGGACAU